rnacentral:rRNA from 1 species
GAUGAACGCUGGCGGCGUGCCUAAUACAUGCAAGUCGAGCGAACGGACGAGAAGCUUGCUUUUCUGAUGUUAGCGGCGGACGGGUGAGUAACACGUGGAUAACCUACCUAUAAGACUGGGAUAACUUCGGGAAACCGGAGCUAAUACCGGAUAAUAUUUUGAACCGCAUGGUUCAAAAGUGAAAGACGGUCUUGCUGUCACGUAUAGAUGGAUCCGCGCUGCAUUAGCUAGUUGGUAAGGUAACGGCUUACCAAGGCAACGAUGCAUAGCCGACCUGAGAGGGUGAUCGGCCACACUGGAACUGAGACACGGUCCAGACUCCUACGGGAGGCAGCAGUAGGGAAUCUUCCGCAAUGGGCGAAAGCCUGACGGAGCAACGCCGCGUGAGUGAUGAAGGUCUUCGGAUCGUAAAACUCUGUUAUUAGGGAAGAACAUAUGUGUAAGUAACUGUGCACAUCUUGACGGUACCUAAUCAGAAAGCCACGGCUAACUACGUG